rnacentral:rRNA from 1 species
UACGUAGGGUGCAAGCGUUAAUCGGAAUUACUGGGCGUAAAGCGUGCGCAGGCGGUGAUGUAAGACAGAUGUGAAAUCCUCGGGCUCAACCUGGGAACUGCAUUUGUGACUGCAUCGCUGGAGUACGGCAGAGGGGGAUGGAAUUCCGCGUGUAGCAGUGAAAUGCGUAGAUAUGCGGAGGAACACCGAUGGCGAAGGCAAUCCCCUGGGCCUGUACUGACGCUCAUGCACGAAAGCGUGGGGAGCAAACAGG